rnacentral:rRNA from 1 species
CCUACGGGUGGCAGCAGUGAGGAAUAUUGGUCAAUGGGCGGGAGCCUGAACCAGCCAAGCCGCGUGAGGGAAGAAGGUACAGCGUAUCGUAAACCUCUUUUGUCAGGGAACAAAGGCGGGGACUAGUCCCCGGAUGAGGGUACCUGAAGAAAAAGCAUCGGCUAACUCCGUGCCAGCAGCCGCGGUAAUACGGAGGAUGCGAGCGUUAUCCGGUUUUAUUGGGUUAAACGGGUGGGCAGGCGGCCUGUUAAGUCAGCGGUCAAAGCCCGGGGGGCAACCCCGGCGCGCAGUUGAAACUGGGGGGCUAGAGUGGGAGAGAGGUAGGCGGAAUGCGCGGUGUAGCGGUGAAAUGCGUAGAUA